UAUUGGUAAUGUGGACAAUCUUUAAGAAGAGAUUUGAAUCUCUCCCCUACGUGAUAGAGAUUCUUAUCUGUCUUUUGCUUGAAACUCAGGAUCUCACCCCUCAAACU
rfam:Capsicum annuum cultivar Zunla-1 chromosome 9, whole genome shotgun sequence